GUUGUGAGGUUAAGCGACUAAGCGUACACGGUGGAUGCCCUGGCAGUCAGAGGCGAUGAAGGACGUGCUAAUCUGCGAUAAGCGUCGGUAAGGUGAUAUGAACCGUUAUAACCGGCGAUUUCCGAAUGGGGAAACCCAGUGUGAUUCGUCACACUAUCAUUAACUGAAUCCAUAGGUUAAUGAGGCGAACCGGGGGAACUGAAACAUCUAAGUACCCCGAGGAAAAGAAAUCAACCGAGAUUCCCCCAGUAGCGGCGAGCGAACGGGGAGCAGCCCAGAGCCUGAAUCAGUGUGUGUGUUAGUGGAAGCGUCUGGAAAGGCGUGCGAUACAGGGUGACAGCCCCGUACACAAAAAUGCACAUACUGUGAGCUCGAUGAGUAGGGCGGGACACGUGGUAUCCUGUCUGAAUAUGGGGGGACCAUCCUCCAAGGCUAAAUACUCCUGACUGACCGAUAGUGAACCAGUACCGUGAGGGAAAGGCGAAAAGAACCCCGGCGAGGGGAGUGAAAAAGAACCUGAAACCGUGUACGUACAAGCAGUGGGAGCACGCUUAGGCGUGUGACUGCGUACCUUUUGUAUAAUGGGUCAGCGACUUAUAUUCUGUAGCAAGGUUAACCGAAUAGGGGAGCCGAAGGGAAACCGAGUCUUAACUGGGCGUUAAGUUGCAGGGUAUAGACCCGAAACCCGGUGAUCUAGCCAUGGGCAGGUUGAAGGUUGGGUAACACUAACUGGAGGACCGAACCGACUAAUGUUGAAAAAUUAGCGGAUGACUUGUGGCUGGGGGUGAAAGGCCAAUCAAACCGGGAGAUAGCUGGUUCUCCCCGAAAG
rnacentral:rRNA from 1 species